GGGACCUGUUGUGGAGGAGAGUGUCCCUAGAGUGCAGCUGGUUGGGACUGUUUGCGGCUAUCUGUCUAUGCUAAAGGAUUAUCUUUGACUUCUGGAUAUAAGGCCUAGAUGGUGGAACUUUUAACCAAGGAGGAGUGAUAGAGUAUUUGAAUUGUCUUUUGCUUCUCGGGCAUUUUUGUACAACUAAUGAUAGUCCUGCUCCCUAGUUUUGGCUCUUAGCUGGAUAGCUCUACCCUUAUCUAUGUAUAAUCAUACUACAACAGCGACAUCUCUGGAGAACAUAUUGUUUUGAGUUUACCCUCUAUAUAUCUGUGAGGUCGGCUAUUUAAAGAGACA